GUUGUUGGGUAGGGGAGCGUUCUGUAAGCCUGCGAAGGUGUACUGUGAGGUAUGCUGGAGGUAUCAGAAGUGCGAAUGCUGACAUAAGUAACGAUAAAGCGGGUGAAAAGCCCGCUCGCCGGAAGACCAAGGGUUCCUGUCCAACGUUAAUCGGGGCAGGGUGAGUCGACCCCUAAGGCGAGGCCGAAAGGCGUAGUCGAUGGGAAACAGGUUAAUAUUCCUGUACUUGGUGUUACUGCGAAGGGGGGACGGAGAAGGCUAUGUUGGCCGGGCGACGGUUGUCCCGGUUUAAGCGUGUAGGCUGGUUUUCCAGGCAAAUCCGGAAAAUCAAGGCUGAGGCGUGAUGACGAGGCACUACGGUGCUGAAGCAACAAAUGCCCUGCUUCCAGGAAAAGCCUCUAAGCAUCAGGUAACAUCAAAUCGUACCCCAAACCGACACAGGUGGUCAGGUAGAGAAUACCAAGGCGCUUGAGAGAACUCGGGUGAAGGAACUAGGCAAAAUGGUGCCGUAACUUCGGGAGAAGGCACGCUGAUAUGUAGGUGAAGUCCCUUGCGGAUGGAGCUGAAAUCAGUCGAAGAUACCAGCUGGCUGCAACUGUUUAUUAAAAACACAGCACUGUGCAAACACGAAAGUGGACGUAUACGGUGUGACGCCUGCCCGGUGCCGGAAGGUUAAUUGAUGGGGUUAGCG
rnacentral:rRNA from 1 species